rnacentral:misc_RNA from 1 species
UUUCUCUCAGCCUGUUCAUG